CAAGGAAUAGUUUAUUAAAAAAUUUUAAUUUUGGAGAUUAAAGAAGAGAUUUAUUUUUCUUCCUUGA
rnacentral:tRNA from 1 species